GCAUUGGUGGUUCAGUGGUAGAAUUCUCACCUUCUAUGCGGGAUACCCGGGUUCAAUUCCCAGUCAAUGCA
rnacentral:tRNA from 1 species